GACGAACGCUGGCGGCGUGCCUAAUACAUGCAAGUCGAGCGCUGAAGCUUGGUACUUGUACCAAUUGGAUGAGCAGCGAACGGGUGAGUAACGCGUGGGGAAUCUGCCUUUGAGCGGGGGACAACAUCGGGAAACGAAUGCUAAUACCGCAUAAUAACUUUAAACACAAGUUUCAAGUUUGAAAGAUGCAUUUGCAUCACUCAAUGAUGAUCUCGCGUUGUAUUAGGUAGUUGGUUAGGUAAACGCCCACCAAAGGGAUGGUACAUAGGCGACCUGGAGAGGUUGACCGCCAACAUGGGAACUGAGAAACGGCCAAGACUCCUAGGGGAGGAAGAAGAGGGGAAUAUUGGACAAGGGGCGAAAGCUGGACGGGGCAAGGCGGGGGGGGUGAGGAAGGUUUUCGGUCGGAAAACUCUGUUGGUAGGGAAGGAAGAUAGGGAGAGUGAAAAGCGCAUCAAGUGACGGUACCUAACCAGAAAGCGACGGCUAACUACGUG
rnacentral:rRNA from 1 species